rnacentral:rRNA from 1 species
UUAUAUGGAGAGUUUGAUCCUGGCUCAGGACGAACGCUGGCGGCGUGCCUAAUACAUGCAAGUCGAGCGGACGGAUGGGAGCUUGCUCCCUGAAGUCAGCGGCGGACGGGUGAGUAACACGUGGGCAACCUGCCUGUAAGACUGGGAUAACUUCGGGAAACCGGAGCUAAUACCGGAUAAUGCAUUUCCCCUCAUGGGGAUAUGCUGAAAGAUGGUUUCGGCUAUCGCUUACAGAUGGGCCCGCGGCGCAUUAGCUAGUUGGUGAGGUAACGGCUCACCAAGGCAACGAUGCGUAGCCGACCUGAGAGGGUGAUCGGCCACACUGGGACUGAGACACGGCCCAGACUCCUACGGGAGGCAGCAGUAGGGAAUCUUCCGCAAUGGACGAAAGUCUGACGGAGCAACGCCGCGUGAGUGAUGAAGGUUUUCGGAUCGUAAAACUCUGUUGUCAGGGAAGAACAAGUGCCGGAGUAACUGCCGGCACCUUGACGGUACCUGACCAGAAAGCCACGGCUAACUACGUGCCAGCAGCCGCGGUAAUACGUAGGUGGCAAGCGUUGUCCGGAAUUAUUGGGCGUAAAGCGCGCGCAGGCGGUCUCUUAAGUCUGAUGUGAAAGCCCACGGCUCAACCGUGGAGGGUCAUUGGAAACUGGGGGACUUGAGUGCAGAAGAGGAAAGUGGAAUUCCACGUGUAGCGGUGAAAUGCGUAGAGAUGUGGAGGAACACCAGUGGCGAAGGCGACUUUCUGGUCUGUAACUGACGCUGAGGCGCGAAAGCGUGGGGAGCAAACAGGAUUAGAUACCCUGGUAGUCC